CAUACUGCGCCAAUUAUCCUGUGUAAUAAUAAUAAAAUGAAAAAUUAUGAAAAUUAUGCAUAAUGCGUUUGCGAACUUGCACAACACGCAUCAGCAAUAGCACUCAGUGGUAGGUGAAAGUUUUAAUUGCACGACCGGCAUGCAACACCAGAAGAAUAAAAAAAAGUUUAGUGUUGUUGGCGGCCGAGGCAAGAGCUGUGAAAAGUCUGGUAAAAAGCCAGAGCAAGGUCAGUUGUUGGCCAACACUUCGGCAGACGAGGAGCAGCGGCUUGCAACACCAGUUGCUGAUGCCGAAGGUGCUACGUAUCUAUCGGAUUUUGUGCAGUGUACACUGGAGCCGGCACCGAGUUUCAAUUUACCACGCAUUAGCGCCGCUCUGGAACGCUUAAUUGGCACAAAUGUGGUGCGUCUGACAGAUCACAAAUUCAUGAGCGAGUUGCGUCAACGAUUGGAGGAGGAGAGUCGCAUACAGUUAGAACGUCGCAUAAACGCAAGAGCGCUCAGAGAAGUCGAACGUGAACGACUCUUAAUCAUAGAGGGCAAGACGGAUGAAAUACCAGAAGAACUCGCAGAUGAUCCCAUUUUCGUUGUGAAUAAAAUUGCGAAUAAGGAAAUCCAAAAGGAGCGUUCGAAGCUCAAAACCAACCGCGAACGAAAUGCCGAACGUUUGAAAGCGCAAGGCUCCAAAUGGGAACGUGAACGACAAAAAUAUGUGGAGGAGGAACAACAACGUGUUGAGAUGAUAAAAGAGCGUAGAAAAGAGCAACAUGAACUCGAGGAGCGUUACAAGGCCGAAGAUGCAGAACGUGGCAUGGAAUUAUUGCGCAUCGACAAUGAAGAUUGGCGUGAAUGUGAACAAGAUUUAAAACGUUUCCUCGAAGAAGAGCGCGCCAAAAUGAAAGAACGCUCUUUACGUGUGCCCACGCCGUUCACAUCGGAUAAAUUGGAUAUAUUAAAUAUUGUGCGUGCGAGGAAAAAGUUCCGUGAAGCCGAGCAACGUAUUGUACAACAAUUAGAAGAGGGUGCUAAACAAAAAACCGAAGCUAAAGACGCCAAACUCGGCAAAGAAUUGGCUGAGAAAACGGCCGUCAUUCAAAAACACGUGCAAGACAUCGUACAAGCCGAAACGGGUGAUGGACUCUUCGAUCAAAGCAUAAAUAAAGAAAUGGCUAAAGAAAUGUACGAACGCGAACGGGAAGAGCGACAACGACGUAAAUAUUUAGAUGAUGCCUCCGAUGUAUCUACCGAAUCGGAAAUCUACGAACAGGGUAGCACAAUUAGUGAGUCGAAGCAACGGCAUGCCGCUGAGUUGGACGAAGAAAUGGAUUAUGACGUUGAACGCGGUUAUCUCAUCUCCAAAGCACAAUUUGAGCAAUUACGUUAUCAUGAUGAAAAGAUAUUACAACUACAAAAGGCAUCGGACAUGCGUCAACUGUAUCAACUUGCGGAGGAAAUCAUAAUUGGUGAACGUGUUGAGGAUGAAGUUGUAGAGGAGGAAUUGGAAGAAGAGGAAGAACAACCGGUUAUCGAAGAGCAGGAGGAAGAAGAAGCAUUCGACAACAAUUUUUGAGUGAAAUGCGGAUUAGUAGCGAGGCGAAAGCGCACAAAAUGUAACUGAGAAGUCAGACUUGUAGACUUUAACUAAAAAAAAUGUUAAAUAAUCAUAAAUGUUCUUGUAUAGAAAAAGCAGUGGUGUUGAUGCAGAAUUAGAGUAAAAAUGAGUUGGAUUUAGAAAGAAGAAUUUGCUUUAGA
rnacentral:misc_RNA from 1 species